GACGAACGCUGGCGGCGUGCUUAACACAUGCAAGUCGAGCGGUAAGGCCCUUUCGGGGGUACACGAGCGGCGAACGGGUGAGUAACACGUGGGUGACCUGCCCUUAGCUCUGGGAUAAGCCUGGGAAACUGGGUCUAAUACCGGAUAUGACUCCAUAACGCAUGUUGUGGGGUGGAAAGCCUUGUGCGGCUAGGGAUGGGCCCGCGGCCUAUCAGCUUGUUGGUGGGGUGAUGGCCCACCAAGGCGACGACGGGUAGCCGGCCUGAGAGGGCGACCGGCCACACUGGGACUGAGACACGGCCCAGACUCCUACGGGAGGCAGCAGUGGGGAAUCUUGCGCAAUGGGCGAAAG
rnacentral:rRNA from 1 species